rnacentral:rRNA from 1 species
UACGUAGGGGGCGAGCGUUGUCCGGAUUUAUUGGGCGUAAAGAGCGUGUAGGCGGCCAGGUAGGUCUGCUGUGAAAACUCGAGGCUCAACCUCGAGACGUCGGCGGAAACCAUCUGGCUAGAGUCCGGAAGAGGAGAGUGGAAUUCCUGGUGUAGCGGUGAAAUGCGCAGAUAUCAGGAAGAACACCCGUGGCGAAGGCGGCUCUCUGGGACGGUACUGACGCUGAGGCACGAAAGCCAGGGUAGCGAACGGG